GGUGCUUGGCAUCCAGUAGGUGCUUAACAGAGGGAAUCCACUGGAUUAAAAAGCCCUGCAGAAGCCAGGCAUGGUGGCACAAGCCUGCAGUCCCAGCAACUCAGGAGGCUAAGGUGGGAGGAUCACUUGAGCCCAGGAGGUCAAGGUAGCAGUAAGCUAUGAUUGUGCCACUGCACUCCACCCUGGAAGACAGAGGAAGACCCCAUCUCUAAUAAAUAAAAUAAAAUAAAAUAAAAUAAAAUAAAAUAAAAUAAAAAGCCCUACAGAAGUUCCUUGAGGACAGAGACCAUGUUUUAAUGACUUCGAUAUCUCCAGCAGCGAUCACCGGCCAGGGCACAUUGUAGACUGUCCAGAAACACUGAUGGAAUGCAUUUGAAUGCAUUUUCCUCUGGUUCUAUGUUCUGUCCUUCUGUUGUUCCCCAGCAGGAGAGUUCUCAUCUGACAUCCAGAAGAGGACGGCCCCACCAGCAGGAUGGUGGUGGGACUGGGAGAUGCUGGCCUGUUUCUGGGAAGUAUGUUAGUUGCCAACGAAACUAAAUAACCAUGGGAACAGACGUUAAGCUAAUUGGUUACUACAAAGCAGGGGUGAAGGGACGUGGCUGAUGUCAGGGCUGUGCAGUUAGGGUGAAAACUCCAUGGGAUGGCUGGGAGACCGGAGGAGGCCCUGGCCCCCCUCCUUGGCUGGCUCUUCCCACAUCAUCCAGCUGGAGCACGAGCCUCCUUUAAUCUUGGCCUCUGAGCUUGCGGAAUCCAAGGGGGGCAGAGGUGCAGGAGCCAGAUAAGAGGCCGCUUCCAAGCGCCCUUGGUGCUCCACCUCCGCCUGCUGAGUCUGUGCUGGGAAUCUGAAUUAGAGGCAGAUCUCGGUCUGACUCCUGAGCACGGAGGCUCUGAGGGCCUCGGGCUAGUCACCGCCCCCUCCUGGCUUCAGUCUCCUGCUGCAGAAGUGGAAGUUGGACUCGAGAAUUCUUGAGGGUUCUCCUGCUGGUAAACUUCAGCCAGCAAGCUGGAUCCUACUUUUGUAAAUGGGGUUUCACUGGGACAGCCACACCCUGGGUCUGUGUCAUCUAUGGCUGCUUUUGUGCUACGAUGGCAGAGUAGCUGCAACAGACGCCAUAUGGUCCCCAAACCCCAAAUAUUUACUAUCUGGCCCUUUACAGGAAGUUUGCAGACCCAUUUUUAAAGUAUUAAAGUUCUCCUGGGCUUAACCGAACGAGCUUUAGUGACUCCAACCUGAUGGAAACAAUUUUAGAACAAGCCCUAUCCUUGUCCCCACCCAUGGAUACCCACUGUCCUCUUCCAAGCACCCCUUUUCUGCCGGUGUCUGGAUAGCCGUGGCAGGGCAGCUGGGCUCUGGGAGCCAGUGUGGUGCAAUGGCGCCACCUGCUGUGAGUGCCUAGGAGCACUUCGCCUGGAAAGCUUUGUCCCCAAGGGCCGGGGGGGUCUCCCAUGGCCCGGGAACCAGUUUACAGGAGUAGACUCAGUCCACAGCACAUCAGAGCUGGGGUCUUGCCCCCUCCCUUCCUCAUUUGAGAGAGGCCUGCAGUCUAGAGAAGACGUGGGACUUGGCCAAGGAGGAGUGGAAAGCCCAAGCCCCAGGGGCCCAUGAAGUUCCAGGAGGCUGUGUGGAUGUCACGUGCAGCACGUGCACACACAGACGUACACAGACUUGGAUGUGAACCUCAGCCCGGCCACUUAAGCAGCUCUUUAUCUUUUCCAGGCUUUAGUCUCUUAGUUGUUAAAAGGAUUAAAAGAAAUGCUUAUAUAACAUUUAAUCUGUUACUAAUAAUGACUCAAUCUUCAAAAGGACUCUGAGAUAG
rnacentral:lncRNA from 10 species